rnacentral:sRNA from 1 species
ACGUUAACCAAUACCUGACUGCUGCUUUUUACUUCAAUUAACCAUAACAGCAGCAGUCACUUUUUCCCUGGUGUUGGCGCAGUAUUCGCGCACCCCGGUUUCGAC